rnacentral:lncRNA from 1 species
GCAGAGGAAAAAUGUUGCUUUUCCGUGUUCGCAGCGCUAGGUGGCAACACGCUGCGCAGGCAUGUCAGUGCAGCAGGCCUCUGCGGCGGCUUCCACUCCAAGCCCUCGCCAGCUCCCACUCGCUCCAGUCUGCAACCGGAAGGGUGUGGGCGGUGGGACUGGAGGAGCCGUACAACUUCAGAUUUUUUCCCUCUCAAAUCAGGCUUUAACCGCUUGGUGGCUGCUACUGAGGGAAUGAAGGAGCCUUUCGGAGCGAGCCAGUGCAGGACUCGGCUCCUCAAGUGUUUUGGGGCAACCACACAGAAACACCGACACAGAAACGUAAAUGUGCUUGUCGUUUACUGUAAGUGCAUUUCCAUCACCAUAAAAAUAUGUGAACCAAUACUGCUUAUUUCAAUUUGAUGUAUAGCGCCUUACAUCACUAUCUAUAAACACAUAUAUUGUAUAUAUACUGGAUAUACAAUAUUAGCGCAGGCAUGUUAGUUAACAGUAUUUUUUUUAAAACCAUGACAGCUGUAUCCUUACAUUUUAAAGGCGAUAUCUGCUCCCAGCCACUUAUGUAAGAAACAAAUAAGCAAGAAGCAUCAAGACCUAGAGGUGACCAGUAAACAUGACUAUAGCAGACUUGUAUAAAAAUUCAGGUUACAGUUCUAAAUGGGAAAGUCUAGAGCAGAACAUGUGAAUGGUUCUUUUCUUUUAAACUUGCUUAACAAGGCCAACAUAGAGUACAUUCAAAUCUGCAUAAAAUCAGCAAAAUAACAUGCUUCUGUGCUGAGGAAUAUAGAAGAGAAAACUGAGAAAAUGCUGAAAGAAGGGUGAUAAAAUUACUGUGACAGUUCUGAUCAGAUGGCCUUCUGAGCUCUUUCCAAACAAUACGUAGUGUGCUAUUUACAAUGUUGUAUCAACUUAUGAGGCAAAAAUCCUGAAAAAAUAAUACUGUUGUGUCUGGACUGAAAUUCACCACAUAUACUGGAAACCUUUAAUCUCGUUCUUUGCUGUCGAUGUAGACUUGGACGUGGUACGCAUUGUGGUAGGGAACCACACUGACUUAAUCAUAUCUGUAUUUAGAUAUUAUCCUUCUGUUACAGAAAAUGACCUAGAUUAACUGAAAUUUGAAGUUAAGAUCCCAGGCUUCACUCUACUCCCAUCACCCAUCUUUUCCAUAACUGUUUACCUUCUAUCUUUAGAUAUUUUAUUUUUUCUGCAUAUAACCACUUAACUUCUCCUUCCCAGAAGGUAUGAUUUCUCUCAUUCAACAAACACCUUGUAAAUUAGCACAGCUCUGCGUAAUAAGCCAUACUCAAGCCUCUUUUUGUUUAUGUCAAUUUUACCACGUGACGGGAAUUUAAAGCCAAGCAAACACAAUUCACGAGGACUGCUGGGGACACUCAACAGAAGUUGC